rnacentral:rRNA from 1 species
UGAGGAAUAUUGGUCAAUGGGCGAGAGCCUGAACCAGCCAAGUCGCGUGAAGGAAGACGGUUCUAUGGAUUGUAAACUGCUUUUCUUGGGGAAGAAUAAUGACGACGUGUCGUCAGAUGACGGUACCCGAGGAAUAAGCAUCGGCUAACUUCGUGCCAGCAGCCGCGGUAAUACGGAGGAUGCAAGCGUUAUCCGGAUUUAUUAGGUUUAAAGGGUGUGUAGGCGGAUGUAUAAGUCAGUGGUGAAAGUCAGCAGCUUAACUGUAGAAUUGCCAUUGAUACUGUAUGUCUUGAGUGUGGUUGAGGUAUGCGGAAUGUGUAAUGUAGCGGUGAAAUGCAUAGAUAUUACACAGAACACCGAUUGCGAAGGCAGCAUGCUAAGCCACAACUGACGCUGAUGCACGAAAGCGUGGGGAUCAAACA